rnacentral:rRNA from 1 species
AUGCCUAUGAAUUAUUCACUUGUUAUUGAACCAUUUGAUGUUUGGGGCUUUGAUUAUAUGGGACCGUUUCCUUCCUCUAAUGGGUAUACACAUAUUUUAGUUGCUGUUGAUUACGUUACUAAGGGGGUAGAAGCUAUUCCAACUAGUAGUGCUGAUCAUAACACCUCUAUUAAGAUGCUUAAAGAAGUUAUUUUUCUGAGGUUUGGAGUCCCUAGAUACUUAAUGACUGAUGGUGGUUCACAUUUUAUUCAUGGUGCCUUUUGUAAAAUGCUUCCUAAGUAUGAUGUUAAUCAUAGAAUUGCAUCUCCAUAUCACCCACAGUCUAGUGGUCAAGUAGAAUUGAGUAAUAGAGAGCUUAAAUUAAUUUUGCAAAAGACUGUUAAUAGAUCCAGAAAAAAUUGGUCCAAGAAACUUGAUGAUGCAUUAUGGGCUUAUAGAACCGCAUACAAAAAUCCUAUGGGUAUGUCUCCAUAUAAAAUGGUUUAUGGAAAAGCUUGUCACUUACCCCUCGAACUAGAACAUAAGGCAUAUUGGGCCAUUAAAGAGCUCAAUUAUGAUUUCAAACUUGCCGAUGAGAAGAGGCUUUUUGACAUUAGCUCACUUGAUGAAUGGAGAACCCACGCUUAUGAAAAUGCCAAACUGUUUAAAGAAAAAGUUAAAAGAUGGCAUGACAAAAGGAUACAAAAACGCGAGUUUAAUGUAGGUGAUUAUGUAUUGCUAUACAACUCUCGUUUAAGAUUUUUUGCAGGAAAAUUUCUCUCUAAAUGGGAAGGUCGUUACGUUAUUGAGGAGGUCUAUCGUUCCAGUGCCAUAAAAAUCAACAACUUUGAAGGCACAAAUCUGAGGGUGGUGAACGGUAAAAGAAUCAAACAUUAUAUCUCAGGUAAUCCUAUAAAUGUUGAAACUAAUGUUAUCAAAACUAUAACCCCGGAGGAAUAUAUAAAGGACACUUUCUAG